UGUAAUAUUAAGUCAUUAAAACCAUUUCAGUUUUAAACUCUUGUCCCACAAAUCUGUCCUCAAUGUUUUGCAUAAACGGGUAUGAAACCUCUUGUUGAUGCUGCUGAUCAUCGAUCACGGUUCAUGACUUCUGAAUUGAAUUUGACACUACUACUACCAGGGUGUUUGACAGUGAGAAAAAGUUUCCAAUAAAUUUACAAAGAUGGCAAGAAAACCAUUUGGAACUAUAAGACAUACCUGCCAACCUUCCUGUUUUGAGUGGGAGUCUCCCGCACAAACGACGAAAAUAGGGAAAUCUCCCGCUUGCCGGUCAGCUCCUGCGCAGGAGUAUAGAAUCUCCCACUUUUGGAUAUUUUUACCCGGAAUGACCCGGGUUCCUAAUUCUCUGGUUUUUAUACGACCGCAAAAAAAAUUUUUGUGGUCGUAUAUUGGUAUGACGUUGGCGUCGUCGUUGUUGUCCAAAGACACAUUAGUUUUCACACUCUAACUUUAGUUUAAGUGCAUGGAUCUCAAUGAAAUUUUACCAUAAGGUUCAAUACCACAAAAGGAAGGUGGGGAUUGAAUUUGGGGGUUAUGGUACCAACAGUUAAGGAAUGAGGGGCCAAAAAUAAGCAUUUUCUAGUUUCCAGACAAUAACUGUGGAACGGUGUAUGGAUCUCUCUGAAAUUAUACUACAAGUUUCCAUACCACAAAGGGAUGGUUGGGAUUUGCUUUGGGGGGUUAUGGCUCAAACCGUUUAGGAAUUAGGGGCAAAAAAGGGGGAAAAACAAGGUUGUCCUGGUUAAUGGACAAAUACUUUAGUACAAAACAUAAUUUAAAGCAGCGUAAGGGAGAUAAAUCAAAUACAUCAUUGAAAUUAUCUCCCUUACACUGCUUUUGAAUUAUGUAUAAAGUAAUGGUUAAUGAACAAUUAAGAUAAUUUAAAACAGUGUAAGGGAGGUAAUCCAAAUACAACGUUUUGGUUACUUCCCUUACACUGCUUUUAAAUUAUGUUUAAAGAAAUGCAUAUUUAUAAAGGAAGACCAGUAAAAAUAUCUGCAAAUGUUGCAUCUUUUUUUUU